rnacentral:rRNA from 1 species
AGCGUACACGGUGGAUGCCUUGGCAGUUGGAGGCGAUGAAGGACGUAUUAACUUGCGAUAAGCCUAGUCAAGCUAGUAAAAAGCACUUGAGACUAGGAUUUCCGAAUGGGGAAACCCACCUGCUUGCAGGUAUCUUGCACUGAAUACAUAGGUGUAAGAGGCGAACGCGGAGAACUGAAACAUCUAAGUACCCGUAGGAACAGAAAUCAACCGAGAUUCCGGAAGUAGCGGCGAGCGAAACCGGACCAGCCCUUAAGCUUAUUUUGUGUUAGUGAAACAUUCUGGAAAGUUUGACGAUACAGGGUGAUAGUCCCGUACACGAAAAUGCAAUCUAAGUGAAAUCGAGUAGGUCGGAGCACGUGAAACUUUGACUGAAUAUAGGUGGACCAUCAUCUAAGGCUAAAUACUCCCAACUGACCGAUAGUGAACCAGUACCGUGAGGGAAAGGCGAAAAGAACCCCUGUGAGGGGAGUGAAAUAGAACCUGAAACCGUGUACGUACAAGCAGUAGGAGCAUACUUGUUAUGUGACUGCGUACCUUUUGUAUAAUGGGUCAGCGACUUAUAUUUUGUAGCGAGGUUAACCGAUUAGGGUAGCCGUAGUGAAAGCGAGCGUUAACUGCGCGUUGAGUUGCAAGGUAUAGACCCGAAACCCGGUGAUCUAGCCAUGGGCAGGUUGAAGGUUGAGUAACAUCAACUGGAGGACCGAACCCACUAACGUUGAAAAGUUAGGGGAUGACCUGUGGCUAGGAGUGAAAGGCUAAUCAAACCGGGAGAUAGCUGGUUCUCCCCGAAAUCUAUUUAGGUAGAGCCUCGGACGAAUACUUACGGGGGUAGAGCACUGUUAAGGCUAGGGGGUCAUCCCGACUUACCAACCCUUUGCAAACUCCGAAUACCGUAAAGUACUAUCCGGGAGACACACGGCGGGUGCUAACGUCCGUCGUGAAGAGGGAAACAACCCAGACCGCCAGCUAAGGUCCCAAAGUCAUAGUUAAGUGGGAAACGAUGUGGAAAGGCCCAGACAGCCAGGAGGUUGGCUUAGAAGCAGCCAUCCUUUAAAGAAAGCGUAAUAGCUCACUGGUCGAGUCGGUCUGCGCGGAAGAUGUAACGGGGCUAAACUAUGCACCGAAGCUGCGGAUUCAUACUUUGUAUGAGUGGUAGGGGAGCGUUCUGUAAGCCGUUGAAGGUGUACCGGGAGGUAUGCUGGAGGUAUCAGAAGUGCGAAUGCUGACAUGAGUAACGAUAAUGCGGGUGAAAAACCCGCACGCCGGAAGACCAAGGGUUCCUAUCCCAUGUUAAUCAGGGUAGGGUAAGUCGACCCCUAAGGCGAGGCCGAAAGGCGUAGUCGAUGGGAAACGGGUUAAUAUUCCCGUACUUGGUAUAAUUGCGAUGGGGGGACGGAGCAGGCUAAACAAGCAUGGCGUUGGUUGUCCAUGUGAAAGUGAGUAGGUUGAGAGUUUAGGAAAAUCCGGACUCUUAAGACUGAGACACGAGACGAGCACCCAAGGGUGUGAAGUUGUUGAUGCCAUACUUCCAGGAAAAGCCUCUAAGCUUCAGAUUAUACCGAAUCGUACCCCAAACCGACACAGGUGGUCAGGUAGAGAAUACUAAGGCGCUUGAGAGAACUCGGGUGAAGGAACUAGGCAAAAUCGUACCGUAACUUCGGGAGAAGGUACGCUCCUAUCUGUGAUGAGACUUGCUCUCUAAGCGGACGGGAGCCGCAGUGACCAGGUGGCUGGGACUGUUUAUUAAAAACACAGCACUGUGCAAAAUCGCAAGAUGACGUAUACGGUGUGACACCUGCCCGGUGCCGGAAGGUUAAUUGAUGGGGUUAGUUUUCGGACGAAGCUCUUGAUCGAAGCCCCGGUAAACGGCGGCCGUAACUAUAACGGUCCUAAGGUAGCGAAAUUCCUUGUCGGGUAAGUUCCGACCUGCACGAAUGGUGUAACCAUGGCCACGCUGUCUCCACCCGAGACUCAGUGAAAUUGAAAUCGCAGUGAAGAUGCUGUGUACCCG